rnacentral:rRNA from 1 species
GGGGAAUAUUGGACAAUGGGCGCAAGCCUGAUCCAGCAACGCCGCGUGGAGGACGAAGGUCUUCGGAUCGUAAACUCCUGUCAGGCGGGACGAAGGCUUCCGGGCAAAUAGUCCGGAAGCUUGACGGUACUGCCAGAGGAAGCCCCGGCUAACUCCGUGCCAGCAGCCGCGGUAAUACGAAGGGGGCUAGCGUUGUUCGGAAUUACUGGGCGUAAAGCGCACGUAGGCGGAUAUUUAAGUCAGGGGUGAAAUCCCAGAGCUCAACUCUGGAACUGCCUUUGAUACUGGGUAUCUCGAGUAUGGAAGAGGUGAGUGGAAUUCCGAGUGUAGAGGUGAAAUUCGUAGAUAUUCGGAGGAACACCAGUGGCGAAGGCGGCUCACUGGUCCAUUACUGACGCUGAGGUGCGAAAGCGUGGGGAGCAAA